ensembl:processed_transcript Gm43439 predicted gene 43439
GAGAGCUCUGACCGCGCUCAGGCAGGCGGGACUGGCUGGGUUCCGGCGCUGUGCAGAUCCGCGCGUGAAGUGUGUUACAGAAGAGUGUUUCUUCUUUGAACGACUGGAAUCUAAUAACUACAAUACUUACCGGUCACGGAAAUACUCCAGUUGGUAUGUGGCACUGAAACGAACUGGGCAGUAUAAACUCGGAUCCAAAACGGGACCUGGACAGAAGGCCAUACUGUUUCUUCCAAUGUCUGCUAAGAGCUGACUCACUUUCGACACUGUCACUGAGACACUGUCACUGAAAAGAAGAGAAUGUAUACAGCCUUUUAUGUAA